rnacentral:rRNA from 1 species
CCUACGGGGGGCAGCAGUGGGGAAUAUUGCACAAUGGGGGAAACCCUGAUGCAGCGACGCCGCGUGAGUGAAGAAGUAUUUCGGUAUGUAAAGCUCUAUCAGCAGGGAAGAUAAUGACGGUACCUGACUAAGAAGCCCCGGCUAACUACGUGCCAGCAGCCGCGGUAAUACGUAGGGGGCAAGCGUUAUCCGGAUUUACUGGGUGUAAAGGGUGCGUAGGUGGCAGGGCAAGUCAGAUGUGAAAGCCCGGGGCUCAACCCCGGUACUGCAUUUGAAACUGUCCAGCUGGAGUGCAGGAGAGGUAAGCGGAAGUGGGAGGGUAGCGGGGAAAUGCGAAGAUAUUAGGAGGAACGGCAGUGGGGAAGGCGGCUUACUGGACUGUAACUGACACUGAGGCACGAAAGCGUGGGGAGCAAACAGGAUGAGAUACCCUGGUAGUC